rnacentral:rRNA from 1 species
UAGAGUUUGAUCCUGGCUCAGGAUGAACGCUAGCUACAGGCUUAACACAUGCAAGUCGAGGGGCAUCAUGGAGUUUGCUUGCAAACUCUGAUGGCGACCGGCGCACGGGUGAGUAACGCGUAUCCAACCUUCCCUAUAGUAGUGGAUAGCCCGGCGAAAGUCGGAUUAAUACACUAUGUUAUUCAACGAGGACAUCUGAAAUGAAUCAAAGGCUUGCCGCUAUAGGAUGGGGAUGCGUCUGAUUAGAUAGUAGGCGGGGUAACGGCCCACCUAGUCUACGAUCAGUAGGGGUUCUGAGAGGAAGGUCCCCCACAUUGGAACUGAGACACGGUCCAAACUCCUACGGGAGGCAGCAGUGAGGAAUAUUGGUCAAUGGGCGAGAGCCUGAACCAGCCAAGUAGCGUGCAGGAAGACGGCCCUAUGGGUUGUAAACUGCUUUUAUACAGGGAUAAAGUCGGGGACGCGUUCCCCGUUUGCAGGUACUGUAUGAAUAAGGACCGGCUAAUUCCGUGCCAGCAGCCGCGGUAAUACGGAAGGUCCGGGCGUUAUCCGGAUUUAUUGGGUUUAAAGGGAGCGCAGGCCGGAGGUCAAGCGUGACGUGAAAUGUAGCCGCUCAACGGCUGAACUGCGUCGCGAACUGGCUUUCUUGAGUGAGUUCGAUGUGGGCGGAAUUCGUGGUGUAGCGGUGAAAUGCUUAGAUAUCACGAAGAACUCCGAUUGCGAAGGCAGCCCACAAGGCCUUUACUGACGCUAAAGCUCGAAGGUGCGGGUAUCGAACAGGAUUAGAUACCCUGGUAGUCCGCACGGUAAACGAUGGAUGCCCGCUGGUUGCGAUAUACUGUGAGCCGACAAGAAAAAUCGUUAAGCAUCCCACCUGGGGGAGACGCCCGGCACGGUGAAACUCCAAGGAAUGGACGGGGGCCCGCCCAAGCGGAAGAACCUGUGGUUUAAUCCAAGAUACCCAAGGACCCUUCCCCG